GUCGUUCUGCGCAUGCGGGGUCAGAGUUGACAGUGGAGGUUUGCGGUAGCAAAGCUAACAGUUAGCAACAUACAUGUGGAGGGUACGACAGGAGGAAACACCAACUCUGUCAAAAUUCCUCUACCCGAACUGUAAACUACUCAGAACUUCAACCACAUCGAAACUAAAGAAUAACAGUAGUUUACAAUGAAAGGUAGCCGGAUAGAGCUGGGGGACGUUACGCCCCACAACAUUAAACAGUUGAAACGCCUCAACCAGGUCAUCUUUCCCGUCAGCUACAAUGACAAGUUCUACAAGGACGUGCUCGAAGUGGGAGAGCUCGCCAAGCUAGCAUACUUCAAUGACAUUGCGGUGGGGGCAGUGUGCUGCAGAGUGGACCACUCUCAGAACCAGAAGAGACUGUAUAUCAUGACACUGGGCUGCCUAGCGCCCUACCGCAGGUUAGGCAUAGGAACAAAGAUGCUGAACCAUGUGUUAAACAUCUGCGAGAAGGAUGGCACCUUUGACAACAUUUACCUUCACGUGCAGAUCAGCAACGAGUCGGCCAUCGACUUCUACCAGAAGUUUGGCUUUGAGAUCAUCGAGACGAAAAAGAACUACUACAAGAGGAUAGAGCCUGCAGACGCCCACGUGCUUCAGAAGAGCCUGCGUAGCCCGUGUGCCCCCUGGGGAAGAGCUGCAGAAGACAGAGUAGGGGCUGCAGCCUCUGGAAAGAGCAUGGUCGUGCCCCCCUCCCCCAGAAACAGAACUGUGACAGAUGCUUAUGGGUUGACACAUUCGCCACUUUCUUCAAAGGAUGUUAAAAAGAAAGAAACAAAAAAUCUAAGUUUAAAAAAACAAAACAUGGCAUUUUUAUUUUGCAAAAAAAAGUCCCAAUAAAAGAUUUUUAAAAACUAA